rnacentral:rRNA from 1 species
GCCUAUACAUGCAGUCGAACGAGUUCUCGGUUGAUGAUCGGUGCUUGCACCGAGAUUCAACAUCGGUAACGAGUGGCGGACGGGUGAGUAACACGUGGGUAACCUGCCCUUAAGUGGGGGAUAACAUUUGGAAACAGAUGCUAAUACCGCAUAGAUCCAAGAACCGCAUGGUUCUUGGCUGAAAGAUGGCGUAAGCUAUCGCUUUUGGAUGGACCCGCGGCGUAUUAGCUAGUUGGUGAGGUAAUGGCUCACCAAGGCGAUGAUACGUAGCCGAACUGAGAGGUUGAUCGGCCACAUUGGGACUGAGACACGGCCCAAACUCCUACGGGAGGCAGCAGUAGGGAAUCUUCCACAAUGGACGCAAGUCUGAUGGAGCAACGCCGCGUGAGUGAAGAAGGCUUUCGGGUCGUAAAACUCUGUUGUUGGAGAAGAAUGGUCGGCAGAGUAACUGUUGUCGGCGUGACGGUAUCCAACCAGAAAGCCACGGCUAACUACGUGCCAGCAGCCGCGGUAAUACGUAGGUGGCAAGCGUUAUCCGGAUUUAUUGGGCGUAAAGCGAGCGCAGGCGGUUUUUUAAGUCUGAUGUGAAAGCCCUCGGCUUAACCGAGGAAGCGCAUCGGAAACUGGGAAACUUGAGUGCAGAAGAGGACAGUGGAACUCCAUGUGUAGCGGUGAAAUGCGUAGAUAUAUGGAAGAACACCAGUGGCGAAGGCGGCUGUCUGGUCUGUAACUGACGCUGAGGCUCGAAAGCAUGGGUAGCGAACAGGAUUAGAUACCCUGGUAGUCCAUGCCGUAAACGAUGAAUGCUAGGUGUUGGAGGGUUUCCGCCCUUCAGUGCCGCAGCUAACGCAUUAAGCAUUCCGCCUGGGGAGUACGACCGCAAGGUUGAAACUCAAAGGAAUUGACGGGGGCCCGCACAAGCGGUGGAGCAUGUGGUUUAAUUCGAAGCAACGCGAAGAACCUUACCAGGUCUUGACAUCUUUUGAUCACCUGAGAGAUCAGGUUUCCCCUUCGGGGGCAAAAUGACAGGUGGUGCAUGGUUGUCGUCAGCUCGUGUCGUGAGAUGUUGGGUUAAGUCCCGCAACGAGCGCAACCCUUAUGACUAGUUGCCAGCAUUUAGUUGGGCACUCUAGUAAGACUGCCGGUGACAAACCGGAGGAAGGUGGGGAUGACGUCAAAUCAUCAUGCCCCUUAUGACCUGGGCUACACACGUGCUACAAUGGAUGGUACAACGAGUUGCGAGACCGCGAGGUCAAGCUAAUCUCUUAAAGCCAUUCUCAGUUCGGACUGUAGGCUGCAACUCGCCUACACGAAGUCGGAAUCGCUAGUAAUCGCGGAUCAGCACGCCGCGGUGAAUACGUUCCCGGGCCUUGUACACACCGCCCGUCACACCAUGAGAGUUUGUAACACCCGAAGCCGGUGGCGUAACCCUUUUAGGGAGCGAGCCGUCU